UUCUGGGUUACUUUGUUAAAUUCCUCUCUAGCACUAACGUGUAAGGUGGAGUAAGGGAAUCUGCUUGUUGACAUGCACACAUGACCAAGUGCCUCUGAUGCAUCUUGCCGGUCAAGUCGGCACACGGGGGCUGAUAUAUGAAGCACAAUUCUAAUAAAAAAUGAUGCACCAAAACUGCAAAGACAGAGAGUCACGACGCUGGAGGAAGACGCCCGAGACCGAGGCCAUAAUUGACGAUAACUCAGAGACGAGGCCGUGAAUAAUGUGUGUUCAGUGAUGAUGACGGCUGAGGGAUGAAGCUGAUCUACUUGGUUUGGGUGACUUUAUUAAGUGGACCAUGUAAGAGUAACCAAGCCCACCUCAAGCCCAGUAAACGUAACAGACAGAGGCUUCGUUUCACCAUGUAGGACAUACUGAACCCGAAUAUUAGAGAAGAUGACGACGGUCUUCAGUGGUAAAUGUCCAUAAUGACGUGGGACCCUGCACUGUUUUGGUUUAUGGGAAAAUAUUUGGCAUCUGAACGAUGAAGUCACGGAGCCAGAACACCAGCAUCACUGCAGACACCAACUCACUGCUCAGCAGAGGGAAUUUUAUACAAUAGUUCAAGAAUUCUGCAAAGGAGAAGUGAAUAAAAUGAUGAAUAAUGUACUGUAAAUCUGUCUACACUGUCAUUAUAACUUCAUUCUCAGCGCUAAACUGCUUCCCUGGA